GGGGAAUGGGUCUGCUUGGGGUGGACAUCUGCCUUGCACGUAGAACACAGAUCGGUUCGAAUCCGAUAUUCUCCACCA
rnacentral:tRNA from 1 species